AAUAGAUACCCUGGUAGUCCACGCCGUAAACGAUGAGUGCUAAGUGUUGGGGGGUUUCCGCCCCUCAGUGCUGCAGCUAACGCAUUAAGCACUCCGCCUGGGGAGUACGGUCGCAAGACUGAAACUCAAAGGAAUUGACGGGGGCCCGCACAAGCGGUGGAGCAUGUGGUUUAAUUCGAAGCAACGCGAAGAACCUUACCAGGUCUUGACAUCCCGGUGACCACUAUGGAGACAUAGUUUCCCCUUCGGGGGCAACGGUGACAGGUGGUGCAUGGUUGUCGUCAGCUCGUGUCGUGAGAUGUUGGGUUAAGUCCCGCAACGAGCGCAACCCUUAUUCUUAGUUGCCAUCAUUCAGUUGGGCACUCUAAGGAGACUGCCGGUGAUAAACCGGAGGAAGGUGGGGAUGACGUCAAAUCAUCAUGCCCCUUAUGACCUGGGCUACACACGUGCUACAAUGGACGGUACAAACGGUUGCCAACCCGCGAGGGGGAGCUAAUCCGAUAAAACCGUUCUCAGUUCGGAUUGUAGGCUGCAACUCG
rnacentral:rRNA from 1 species